UACGUAGGGUGCAAGCGUUAAUCGGAAUUACUGGGCGUAAAGCGCGUGUAGGCGGCCAGGUAGGUCCGAUGUGAAAUCUGGAGGCUCAACCUCCAGCGGUCAUUGGAAACCAUCUGGCUAGAGUCCGGAAGAGGAGAGUGGAAUUCCUGGUGUAGCGGUGAAAUGCGCAGAUAUCAGGAAGAACACCAAUGGCGAAGGCAGCUCUCUGGGACGGUACUGACGCUGAGACGCGAAAGCGUGGGGAGCAAACAGG
rnacentral:rRNA from 1 species